rnacentral:rRNA from 1 species
UGGGGAAUAUUGGUCAAUGGGGGGAACCCUGAACCAGCGACGCCGCGUGAGGGAAGAAGGUCUUCGGAUUGUAAACCUCUGUCUUUGGGGACGAUAAUGACGGUACCCAAGGAGGAAGCCACGGCUAACUACGUGCCAGCAGCCGCGGUAAUACGUAGGUGGCAAGCGUUGUCCGGAAUUACUGGGUGUAAAGGGAGCGUAGGCGGGGCGGCAAGCAAAAUGUGAAACUGAUCGGCUCAACCGGUCAUUGCGUUUUGAACUGUCGCUCUUGAGUGAAGUAGAGGCAGGCGGAAUUCCUAGUGUAGCGGUGAAAUGCGUAGAUAUUAGGAGGAACACCAGUGGCGAAGGCGGCCUGCUGGGCUUUUACUGACGCUGAGGCUCGAAAGUGUGGGUAGCAAACAGG